rnacentral:tRNA from 1 species
AAUAUAAGGACUGCGAAAAUGUAGAUUACUGCGAUAUAGUAAGUUUUAGAAAGUUUAAUUUCUCUAUAUUA